GAAGAAAGAAGGAAUAGUUCCUUCUUGAAUCUGAAAUUUUAAAGAAGAAAGAAAGGUUUUCUCUCAUGCAUGGAAGAAAGAGAAGAAAGUGUUCUUUUCAUAAUCUCUAGCAUAGAGAUCUUCAUUCUCCUGUUCUUCUUGAUCUCUAAGAGUAUCUUGAGAAAAAAGAAGAGUCCUCUUCAACCGUCAAGAUGUGAUCUCUGUAAGGGAGCUAGCUUUCCAGUG
rnacentral:lncRNA from 1 species